CCUUUUUCUUUCCAUAGACAACAACAAUAAAAACAACUAUAAUUGAGAUGUUAAACUAAUGCACAAUUCAACCAUAAAAUCCUAAAGCCAACUAAAUCUUGAACCAAGAAUCAACUGAAGGCAAUGAUGAAGCUGUAAAGAUUUAUUUUUUGUCAUUUAUUGAAGAAACAGAUAUUUGCAUGAAUGCAAGACGUUCUUAGAUGGAGAGCGUUGGAGAGGGAGAGAGAUUGCAAACUAGAUUCCUGAAUUUACUAAUAC